GACGAACGCUGGCGGCGUGCUUAACACAUGCAAGUCGAACGGAAAGGCCCUGCUUUUGUGGGGUGCUCGAGUGGCGAACGGGUGAGUAACACGUGAGUAACCUGCCCUUGACUUUGGGAUAACUUCAGGAAACUGGGGCUAAUACCGGAUAGGAGCUCCUGCUGCAUGGUGGGGGUUGGAAAGUUUCGGCGGUUGGGGAUGGACUCGCGGCUUAUCAGCUUGUUGGUGGGGUAGUGGCUUACCAAGGCUUUGACGGGUAGCCGGCCUGAGAGGGUGACCGGCCACAUUGGGACUGAGAGACGGCCCAGACUGCUACGGGAGGCAGCAGUGGGGAAUAUUGCGCAAUGGGCGGAAGCCUGAUGCAGCAACGCCGCGUGCGGGAUGACGGCCUUCGGGUUGUAAACCGCUUUCGCCUGUGACGAAGCGUGAGUGACGGUAAUGGGUAAAGAAGCACCGGCUAACUACGUG
rnacentral:rRNA from 1 species